rnacentral:rRNA from 1 species
UACAGAGGAUGCAAGCGUUAUCCGGAAUGAUUGGGCGUAAAGCGUCUGUAGGUGGCUUUUUAAGUCCGCCGUCAAAUCCCAGGGCUCAACUCUGGACAGGCGGUGGAAACUACCAAGCUUGAGUACGGUAGGGCAGAGGGAAUUUCCGGUGGAGCGGGUGAAAUGCGUAGAGAUCGGAAAGAACACCAACGGCGAAAGCACUCUGCUGGGCCGACACUGACAUGAGAGACGAAAGCUAGGGGAGCGAAUGGG